AUGGGGUGGGUAAUGGGGCAGCAAUGGGGCAGAAAUGGUGUGUAUAUAGGGUGUCUAUGGGGUGUCUAUGGGUGUCUAUGGGAUGUAUAUGGGGUGUAUGUGGGGUGUAUAUGGGGUGUCUAUGGGUGUCUAUGGGGUGUAUAUAGGGUGUCUAUGGGUGUCUAUGGGGUGUAUGUGGGGUGGGCAAUGGGAUGUGGGGUGAGAAUAAAGGAGAUGAUGGAGCAAAUAGUGUGGUUAUGUGGGGAGAUGUGGGGUGAAUGGAUGGGGAUGGAUGGGGGGCAGUGGGGCAGCUAUGGGGCAGCAAUGGGGUGUCUAUGGGGUCUAUGGGUGUCUAUGGGGUGUCUAUGGGUGUCUAUGGGUGUCUAUGGGUGUCUAUGGGGUGUCUAUGGGUGUCUAUGGGUGUCUAUGGGGUGUCUAUGGGUGUCUAUGGGGUGUCUAUGGGGUGUCUAUGGGGUAUCUAUGGGUGUCUAUGGGGUGUCUAUGGGUGUCUAUGGGGUGUCUAUGGGGUGUCUAUGGGGUGUCUAUGGGUGUCUAUGGGGUGUCUAUGGGUGUCAAGGGGUGUCUAUGGGUGUCUAUGGGUGUCUAUGGGGUGUCUAUGGGGUGUCUAUGGGGUGUCUAUGGGUGUCUAUGGGUGUCUAUGGGGUAUCUAUGGGUGUCUAUGGGGUGUCUAUGGGUGUCAAGGGGUGUCUAUGGGGUGUCUAUGGGGUGUCUAUGGGGUGUCUAUGGGGUGUCUAUGGGUGUCUAUGGGUGUCUAUGGGGUAUCUAUGGGUGUCUAUGGGGUGUCUAUGGGGUGUCUAUGGGUGUCUAUGGGGUGUCUAUGGGUGUCUAUGGGGUGUCUAUGGGUGUCUAUGGGGUGUCUAUGGGGUGUCUAUGGGGUGUCUAUGGGUGUCUAUGGGGUGUCUAUGGGUGUCAAGGGGUGUCUAUGGGUGUCUAUGGGGUGUCUAUGGGGUGUCUAUGGGUGUCUAUGGGGUGUCUAUGGGUGUCUAUGGGGUGUCUAUGGGGUGUCUAUGGGUGUCUAUGGGGUGUCUAUGGGGUGUCUAUGGGUGUCUAUGGGUGUCUAUGGGGUGUCUAUGGGGUGUCUAUGGGUGUCUAUGGGGUGUCUAUGGGGCAGCAGUGGGAUCAAGGGACCCGGUUUGGGUGUAUGGUCGUGCAUGA
rnacentral:lncRNA from 1 species